rnacentral:rRNA from 1 species
GUACUUUCAGCGGGGAGGAAGGGAGUAAAGUUAAUACCUUUGCUCAUUGACGUUACCCGCAGAAGAAGCACCGGCUAACUCCGUGCCAGCAGCCGCGGUAAUACGGAGGGUGCAAGCGUUAAUCGGAAUUACUGGGCGUAAAGCGCACGCAGGCGGUUUGUUAAGUCAGAUGUGAAAUCCCCGGGCUCAACCUGGGAACUGCAUCUGAUACUGGCAAGCUUGAGUCUCGUAGAGGGGGGUAGAAUUCCAGGUGUAGCGGUGAAAUGCGUAGAGAUCUGGAGGAAUACCGGUGGCGA